rnacentral:rRNA from 1 species
CAGUAGCCGCGGUAAUACGAAGGGGGCUAGCGUUGUUCGGAAUUACUGGGCGUAAAGCGCACGUAGGCGGAUAUUUAAGUCAGGGGUGAAAUCCCAGAGCUCAACUCUGGAGCUGCCUUUGAUACUGGGUAUCUUGAGUAUGGAGGAGGUGAGUGGAAUUCCGAGUGUAGAGGUGAAAUUCGUAGAUAUUCGGAGGAACACCAGUGGCGAAGGCGGCUCACUGGUCCAUUACUGACGCUGAGGUGCGAAAGCGUGGGGAGCAAACAGGAUUAGAUACCCGAGUAGUCCCUGUCUCUUAUAC